AGUUAAUGAUGUAGGCAUCUCCUCAAGAAGUCCUUGAACCUUUCUCAUAUUUCAAACAAUGAUUCUGUAUCCAUUUGAGUGAAUGAAGUGAUCUCUUACCUAAUCU